rnacentral:rRNA from 1 species
UACGGAGGGUGCGAGCGUUGUCCGGAAUCAUUGGGCGUAAAGGGCGCGUAGGUGGCCCGCUCAGCGUGCGGUGAAAGCUCGGGGCUCAACCCCGAGUCGGCCGUGCGAACUGGUGGGCUGGAGCACUGUAGAGGCAGGCGGAAUUCCGGGUGUAGCGGUGGAAUGCGUAGAGAUCCGGAAGAACACCGGUGGCGAAGGCGGCCUGCUGGGCAGUUGCUGACACUGAGGCGCGACAGCGUGGGGAGCAAACAGGG